rnacentral:rRNA from 1 species
GAUGAACGCUGGCGGCGUGCCUAAUAUAUGCAAGUCGAGCGAACGGACCAGAAGCUUGCUUCUCUGAUGUUAGCGGCGGACGGGUGAGUAACACGUGGAUAACCUACCUAUAAGACUGGGAUAACUUCGGGAAACCGGAGCUAAUACCGGAUGAUAUUUUGAACCGCAUGGUUCAAAAGUGAAAGACGGUCUUGCUGUCACUUAUAGAUGGAUCCGCGCUGCAUUAGCUAGUUGGUAAGGUAACGGCUUACCAAGGCAACGAUGCAUAGCCGACCUGAGAGGGUGAUCGGCCACACUGGAACUGAGACACGGUCCAGACUCCUACGGGAGGCAGCAGUAGGGAAUCUUCCGCAAUGGGCGAAAGCCUGACGGAGCAACGCCGCGUGAGUGAUGAAGGUCUUCGGAUCGUAAAACUCUGUUAUUAGGGAAGAACAUAUGUGUAAGUAACUGUGCACAUCUUGACGGUACCUAAUCAGAAAGCCACGGCUAACUACGUG